rnacentral:rRNA from 1 species
CUGCUGCCUCCCGUAGGAGUCUGGGCCGUGUCUCAGUCCCAGUGUGGGGGGCCUUCCUCUCAGAACCCCUACGCAUCGUCGCCACGGUGGGCCGUCACCCCGCCGUCUAGCUAAUGCGCCGCAUGCCCAUCCGCCACCGGAUCGCUCCUUUGGCCACCGGAGGAUGCCCUCCGGUGGCGUCACGGGGUAUUAGGCCGCGUUUCCGCGGGUUAUCCCCCUGUGGCGGCCCAGGUUGCAUACGUGUUACUCACCCGUGCGCCGGUCGCCGGCGG